rnacentral:rRNA from 1 species
GGGUCAGUAGGUUGGUCGUGCCACCGGUACGUACUGGUCUCACUGAUUCCUCCUUCCUGAAGAACCGUAAUGCCAUUAAUUUGGUGUUGCGGGGAAACAGGACUGUUACUUUGAAAAAAUUAGAGUGUUUAAAGCAAGCUAACGCUUGAAUGCAUUAGCAUGGAAGAAUGAAAUAGGACGAUCGAUCCUAUUUUGUUGGUUUCUAGGAUUGACGUA